UAAAAAAUAGAGGCCCAAAACACAAGGAUUCUUAGUCCUUCUCUAUGCCACAAAUAAAGUGCACAUGCAUUCUGCAUAUUAGCACCAAGAGUCCUUCUUAAGUUGGACUCUUAGUUAUUUGGCGUGUACACCAGAUAUGGUGCCUCUUUUUGACUGCUUCCAGGUGGCUUGACCUAAUCUAAAUGCCCACCAAGUUGGGCUGGUAAAUGAGCAAGGCAUGAGAUCAAAUUGAUCUCUAAAAGAGCUAGGGAUUCCACACGUGCUAGCAUGCUUACCGAAAUCUCGAUUGAAUCCAAAAUUUCAAUCAAUCUUUUUAAAAAGGAUCCUUGGCUAAUUUCUAUAUGUAUGUGACCCAUUGGGUUCCACAUCUAGCUAGUAGUA
rnacentral:lncRNA from 1 species